UGGGGAAUUUUGGACAAUGGGCGAAAGCCUGAUCAAGCAAUGCCGCGUGCAGGAAGAAGGCCUUCGGGUUGUAAACUGCUUUUGUACGGAACGAAACGGUCUUUUUUAAUACAAGGGGCUAAUGACGGUACCGUAAGAAUAAGCACCCGCUAACUACGUGCCAGCAGCCGCGGUAAUACGAAGGGUGCAAGCGUUACUCGGAAUUACUGGGCGUAAAGCGUGAGUAGGUGGUUUCUUAAGUCUGCUGUGAAAGCCCCGGGCUCAACCUGGGAACUGCAUUUGUGACUGCAUAGCUGGAGUGCGGCAGAGGGGGAUGGAAUUCCGCGUGUAGCAGUGAAAUGCGUAGAUAUGCGGAGGAACACCGAUGGCGAAGGCAAUCCCCUGGGCCUGCACUGACGCUCAUGCACGAAAGCGUGGGGAGCAAACA
rnacentral:rRNA from 1 species